rnacentral:rRNA from 1 species
GACGAACGCUGGCGGCGUGCUUAACACAUGCAAGUCGAACGGUGAAGCGCCUUCCUUUUUGGUGGGUGUGGAUGAGUGGCGAACGGGUGAGUAACACGUGAGUAACCUGCCCCCUUCUUCUGGAUAACCGCAUGAAAGUGUGGCUAAUACGGGAUAUUCUGGGUCUGUCGCAUGAUGGGUCUGGGAAAGAUAUUGUUUCGUUGGGGGAUGGGCUCGCGGCCUAUCAGCUUGUUGGUGGGGUGAUGGCCUACCAAGGCGGUGACGGGUAGCCGGCCUGAGAGGGUGGACGGUCACACUGGGACUGAGACACGGCCCAGACUCCUACGGGAGGCAGCAGUGGGGAAUAUUGCACAAUGGGCGCAAGCCUGAUGCAGCGACGCCGCGGGAGGGAUGGAGGCCUUCGGGUUGUGAACCUCUUUCGCCAGUGAAGCAGGCCUGCCUCGUUUGUGGGUGGGUUGACGGUAGCUGGAUAAGAAGCGCCGGCUAACUACGUG